CCUGGGGUGCAGCCUGGGACCAUGGGAGCACUGUGCCCCCUUAACUCUCCAGCCUGGGCUAUCUCUCACAAUGCUUUGCUAGUAACAAGCAGCAAACCCUUCUAGGUGCUGUUAUCACGUAGCACAACAGCACGUGGAGCCCUACGCCCAGUUAGAUUGCAUGAAUGCUCCCAGAGCCACUGAUGAAUCACACAGAGUAAGGCACCAGCCAAAUGUUCCCAGCUCCCUGCACUG